AUUGAACGCUGGCGGCAGGCUUAACACAUGCAAGUCGAGCGGGGACUUCGGUCCUAGCGGCGAACGGGUGAGGAAUGCUUGGGAAUCUGCCCAGUAGCGGGGGAUAACGUUUCGAAAGGAACGCUAAUACCGCAUACGCCCUACGGGGGACAGGGGGGGAUCUUCGGACCUCUCACUAUUGGAUGAGCCCAAGUCGGAUUAGCUAGUUGGUGGGGUAAAGGCCUACCAAGGCGACGAUCCGUAGCUGGUCUGAGAGGAUGAUCAGCCACACUGGAACUGAGACACGGUCCAGACUCCUACGGGAGGCAGCAGUGGGGAAUAUUGGACAAUGGGCGAAAGCCUGAUCCAGCCAUGCCGCGUGUGUGAAGAAGGCCUUCGGGUUGUAAAGCACUUUAAGCGAGGAGGAAUGGCUGAGGGUUAAUAACCUUCAGCAGUGACGUUACUCGCAGAAUAAGCACCGGCUAACUCUGUGCCAGCAGCCGCGGUAAGAC
rnacentral:rRNA from 1 species